GCGUCUCCGACGCGCGUUCGCUUCCCGCCAGGUCCACUAAAGAC
rnacentral:sRNA from 13 species